GGAGAUGUACCCUUCUCCUCCGCUUUGUCCCGUCCUUUUCAUCUCGGUUCCAGGCUCAGAAGCGCAGAGAAUUUGGAGUGAGAGGUUUCAGCGACUCUCGGGUUUCGACCUCUCCCGGAUUCCUUGGACCGCCUUUUACAGUACUGGGGCGAAGGGUGUGGGUAAGAACAGGCAUAUCUACUGGCAAACUUGGAGAUAUUUUAAGACACCGUUACUAUCACCAGUAACUGUUUAAGAACUUCUACUUCUGACAGUCUUCUGCGUGAUAUACAUAACUUAAAAGUCAUCAGUCAUUUCGAAGAAAUUUAACUUUUUUUUAAAUUUAGCAGAAUUUAAUUGAUCAAAAACAAUUUGAAUCGAGCAGCCCCAGAAUGAAAAAAGAGAGAGAAAUUUUUGCUAUAGAAUGCAUAGGCUCGCCAGAGAGACAGAAACAGAAAGC